GUGCUCGCUUCGGCAGCACAUAUACUAAAAUUGGAACGAUACAGAGAAGAUUAGCAUGGCCCCUAAAAAAAAAAAGAUAAUAUAUUCUACACUUGCCUAUUUUUU